UACAGAGGGUGCGAGCGUUGUCCGGAAUCACUGGGCGUAAAGGGCGCGUAGGUGGCGUCGCAAGUCGAUGGUGAAAGCUCGAUGCUUAACAUCGAGUCGGCCAUUGAUACUGCGAGGCUGGAGCACUGUAGAGGCAGAUGGAAUUCCGGGUGUAGCGGUGGAAUGCGUAGAGAUCAGGAAGAACAUCGGUGGCGAAGGCGCUCUGCUGGACCAUAACUGACACUCAGGGACGAAAGCUAGGGGAGCGAAUGGG
rnacentral:rRNA from 1 species